rnacentral:lncRNA from 1 species
AUGAGGAGCACCUGGAGCCUCCAAACCCAUGGGGUCACAGCUGCGGGUGGUGAGCCCAUAAAUAGGGGAGUGGGGGGACCUUCCCAGACCCUUGGCUGCUCUGCAUCACCUCCACCACUCUCAGCUCUCUUGGCCAGGAGUCAGGCACAGGUGGGGAGAGCAGAAUGCAAUUGGCAACGGAGGACACAGCACUGGGGACGUCAGCCAAGGGUUUCUGUCCCCAAACCAUGGCACGGUCACUGCCUGGAUGCUUUGGCGAGGCCACACUGCCUCGGGCUUGCUGCAGGACCUGCAGGAAAAGCAGGCAGCAGCACAGGGCACAGCGAUGCCUGUGCAAAGCACAUGCAGCCCACGGAGAGCCCUGCAAAGCCACCGUGUCCUUACCAGCUGGAGGUGACACAGGUGCGUGUGGCUGCUCAGCUGCUUUCCCUGGGACCUGUGCUUGAAGCAGGGCAGAUCUCGCGCUCCCCUUCCCUGCCGUGCUGGGGGAUGUGGUGGCCGUGUGAGUGCAGAGCAGUGGCCAGCACCGGUGGAGCCACAGCACAGCAGGGGAACGGCGUUUUCUUGCUGCGACAGCUUUGCAACAGAUUCUCUGGCGGAGCUGACUGCAAACUGCAAUCCUAAACUGUAGGACGACUCCUUUUUCCAGCCUGGGAGUGUGAGAAACAAAUUUGUUUGGGUUAUAAAAACAUAUUAAAAAGCAACACAUUUUGUUUUGCAAUAUACAUAGUUCUUCAUGCCAAUUUUUUUUUCCUUUUUUUUUUUGUAAUGAGUGCCUUCCAGACAAAGACGUUCCUUAAUAACUUUUUGUGGAGGUAAUUGCUGGGGAGAUGUUUCAGAGCACUGUGCGGGGAGCUGUCAAUCACAGCCUCCGCUGACGGCUGGGUGUCACCGGGUACGAGAGCAGAAGGCUGGGAAGUGCCUGGGUCCCUCUCCUGGAAAAGGAUCUGGUGCUUGGAGAGGUGGUGCCCGGCUGCGGGAGCUGGGAUUGCUGGAGCAGCCCCAAAUUGGGUUUUUCUAAGGGGCAUCUCUAAGGGGCUCUGGGCUUGCCUCCCCAUGUGGUGUCCAGCUGCUUGUAGCUGGUUUGGUUUCAUUUUUUUCUUGGAGGAGACACAGGAGAAGCUCAACACGUGCUGGUUGGAGCUCUUCCAGUUGGGAUCACUAACCAGGCACUGCCAUCAAUUCUUCAUCUGGUUUAGAAGUGCUCCGCUCCAUCUCCUCCUGGUUUCCUCGUUACAAGAGGCUAAAAGCAGGUUUUAGCACCACUUCUUCCAUCAGCUUUGGUUUUACGGAGCUGCUUUUCCUCCUUGCCCCUCUGGGCUGGCCCUUGCCCAUCUCUCCCAUGUCCUGCUGUGCUCGUGGCCCAUCUCAGGGGUCUUUUCGGGUUUGUUUUGGUGGUGUUGCAAACGAGCUGAUCGCAGCUGACCCCUGCACCAUUUUCUUGGCUACUCUGUUUUCCCAAGUCAGCGUCAGCUGCUCUUCAAAUCAAGGAAAAUGCCUGUGGGUUAUUUUUUUAAAUGGCACUAACUUUGAUUUGUAAUUAAAACACACUCCAUUUAAUUAGGAAGGUACCACACAACCUUUAGAAACACGGCUAUCUUUAUAUAUUUACUCCCAUUGCUUGUGUUUUCCUUGGUGACUCGAGUUCCAAUUAAAACCACCUCCUUAUUAAACCGUCAGCUCUUAAAUAAAACCCAGGAGCUAAAAAUACA